rnacentral:rRNA from 1 species
UAUAUCGGAACGUGCCCAGUCGUGGGGGAUAACGUAGAGAAAUUUACGCUAAUACCGCAUACGAUCUAAGGAUGAAAGCGGGGGACUCGCAAGGGCCUCGCGCGAUUGGAGCGGCUGAUAUCAGAUUAGGUUGUUGGUGAGGUAAAAGCUCACCAAGCCGACGAUCUGUAGCUGGUUUGAGAGAACGACCAGCCACACUGGGACUGAGACACGGCCCAG